GACGAACGCUGGCGGCGUGCCUAACGCAUGCAAGUCGGACGGGCAGGGGCCUCUGGGUCCUGCGACCGUGGCGGACGGGUGCGGAACACGUACGUGACCUGCCCGGUAGUGGGGGAUAACCCCUCGAAAGGGGGGCUAAUACCGCGAUGUGGUCGCUGGGCUGCGGUCCAGCGAGUAAAGCCUGGUGAUGAGCCGGGCGCUACCGGAGGGGCGUGCGGCGGAUUAGCUCGUUGGUGGGGUAAUGGCCCACCAAGGCGACGAUCCGUAGCUGGUCUGAGAGGAUGGCCAGCCACACGGGGACUGAGACACGGCCCCGACUCCGUACGGGAGGCAGCA
rnacentral:rRNA from 1 species